CAGAAAGACCCUAUGAAGCUUUACUGUAACUUGAAAUUGAAAUUGGACUUUAUUUGCGCAGUAUAGGUGGGAGGCGUUGAGAAUAUUCUUGCGGGAGUAUUGGAGCCAUCAGUGAGAUACCACUCUUGUAAUGUUAGAUUUCUAACUUUGUAUCAUUAUCUGGUCAAAGGACAGUUUCAGGCGGGCAGUUUGACUGGGGCGGUCGCCUCCCAAACGGUAACGGAGGCGCACAAAGGUUUCCUCUGAACGGGUAGAAAUCGUAUCUAGAGUGUAAAGGCAUAAGGAAGCUUGACUGUGAGACCUACAAGUCGAGCAGGGACGAAAGUCGGUCUUAGUGAUCUGACGGUGCUGAGUGGAAAGGCCGUCACUCAACGGAUAAAAGUUACUCUAGGGAUAACAGGCUGA
rnacentral:rRNA from 1 species